UUAAGUUCAGCGGGUAUCCCUACCUGAUCCGAGGUCAACCACAGAGUCGGGGUUCUGGCGGGCAGCCGCCCGGGACCGCAGCGAGGGGUGUACUACGCUGAGAGCCGAGCGGCGCCGCCACUGUCUUUAGGGCCGGCCGCGACGGGCCCGGCCCAACACCAAGCAGGGCUUGAGGGUUGAAAUGACGCUCGAACAGGCAU
rnacentral:misc_RNA from 1 species